rnacentral:misc_RNA from 1 species
GUACCUGCAUCCUCCGCCAAAACAUUCACGGUGAAAGGUGGCCAGAGGGUGUUCGGCGUCGCGUCGCAGUGCUGAAUUGGUAGCGUGGUUGGAGGUUUGCCACCUUGCCACUCAGUUCUUCACUGGCACCCUUUGGACUCGCAACGCCGAUCUUCCUUCCAAUCAAGAUGAUGAACAUACCGGGCCUUGCGGGCAUUAUCGUCUUUUACCUCCUCAUCCUUGGGAUUGGCAUCUAUGCAGCAUGGAGGCGGCGCAACAAGGGCGGCAAAUCCGAGGAGGUUAUGCUGGCAGGACGCUCCAUUGGGCCUCUGGUCGGCAUCCUCACCAUGACGGCUACAUGGGUGGGAGGAGGAUACAUCAACGGCACAGCGGAGAAGGUGUACGACAAGGGCCUCAUCUGGUGCCAGGCGCCCUUUGGCUACGCUCUGUCGCUUGCUGUGGGCGGCCUGUUCUUCGCCAAGCCGAUGCGGGAGGCUGGCUACGUCACCAUGCUGGACCCGCUGCAGCAGGCCUUUGGGCGGCGCAUGGGCGGCAUGCUCUACUUUCCGGCUCUGAUGGGUGAAACGUUCUGGUCGGCGGCUAUCCUAUCUGCCCUUGGCUCCACCUUGGCAGUCAUCCUGGACAUUGGCAAUACUGUGUCAAUCCUCGUUAGUGCUGCCAUCGCUGUUUUCUACACCAUAUUUGGCGGCCUCUACUCCGUCGCUUACACGGACGUGAUCCAGCUGUUCUGCAUCUUCAUCGGUCUGUGGAUCACCGUGCCCUUCGCCAUGAUGCACGAGUCGGUGGGGUCCCUUGCCCUCAACGAGACUGAUUGGCUAGGCUCCAUUGAGCCCACCUCACCAGAAUGGGGCCUCUGGAUCGACUACUGGCUUCUGCUCAUCUGUGGCGGCAUCCCGUGGCAGGUGUACUUCCAGAGAGUGCUGUCCUGCCAGACCCCGACUCACGCCAGGAUGCUCUCCUACGCGGCGUCCAUCGGCUGCCUCUUGAGUGCAGUGCCAGCGUGUAUUAUCGGUGCUAUUGCUAAGGCCACAGACUGGAGCCAGACAGACUACGGCAAGACUCCCGAGGGCUACCAAGUGAAGCUGGUCCUGCCCCUUGUGAUGCAGUACCUCACGCCCACGUGGGUGGCGUUCCUGGGGCUGGGAGCCGUGAGUGCCGCAGUCAUGUCCUCCGCUGACUCCUCCGUACUCUCCGCCUCGUCCAUGUUUGCCAGGAACAUAUUCCAAAACGUCUUCAAGCAGGAGGCCACUGACCGGGAGGUGAUCUGGGUGAUGCGAGCCAGCAUCGUGGUGGUGGCCGCCAUCGCCUGCACCAUCGGCAUCCUCAUCAACAGCAUUUACUACCUCUUCCUUGUCUUGCCUCGUACAGUAUGGAUGUCCCGAGCAGCAGCGGGCACUGGGCCGGUCAGGCUACAUGCAAGAUCGCCGACCCUCAAGCUCCCGGCUAAGCCUUGCAGGCGCUCUUGUCCCCCGGGUUUAAGCUGUGCGGGGAUCUGGUGUACGUGAUCCUCUUCCCGCAGCUCCUGAUGGUGGUGCACUUCCGAGACCGCGUCAACACUUACGGCUCCUUCGUGGCCUUCUUUCUCGGGCUGAUCGUACGUCUCUUAGGAGGAGAGCCGUACAUCGGGGUGCCGGCCACUAUCCACUACCCGUUCUACGACGAGGAAUUAGGCCAGCAGAACUUCCCCUUCCGCACGAUAGCCAUGCUGGUGUCACUGUUCAGCCUCAUCGUCACUUCGGCCAUUG